CAUAGUGGGUGAUAGUCCUGUACACGAAAGGGCUUAGAUAAUGAUGUCGAGUAGGGCGAGGCACGUGAAACCUUGUCUGAAUAUGGGGGGACCAUCCUCCAAGGCUAAAUACUCCUGACUGACCGAUAGUGAACCAGUACCGUGAGGGAAAGGCGAAAAGAACCCCUGUGAGGGGAGUGAAAUAGAUCCUGAAACCGCAUGCAUACAAGCAGUGGGAGCCGGCAUUGCGUCCGGUGACUGCGUACCUUUUGUAUAAUGGGUCAGCGACUUAUAUUCAGUAGCAAGGUUAACCGAAUAGGGGAGCCGUAGAGAAAUCGAGUCUUAAUAGGGCGAAUUAGUUGCUGGGUAUAGACCCGAAACCAGGUGAUCUAUCCAUGAGCAGGUUGAAGGUUGGGUAACACUAACUGGAGGACCGAACCCACUGUCGUUGAAAAGCCAGGGGAUGACUUGUGGAUAGGGGUGAAAGGCUAAUCAAACUUGGUGAUAGCUGGUUCUCCCCGAAAGCUAUUUAGGUAGCGCCUCGGACGAAUACCAUUGGGGGUAGAGCACUGUUUCGGCUAGGGGGUCAUCCCGACUUACCAAACCGAUGCAAACUCCGAAUACCAAUGAGUACUAUCCGGGAGACAGACUGCGGGUGCUAACGUCCGUAGUCAAGAGGAAAACAAUCCAGACCGCCAGCUAAGGCCCCAAAAUUAUAGUUAAGUGGGAAACGAUGUGGGAAGGCAUAGACAGCUAGGAGGUUGGCUUAGAAGCAGCCACCCUUUAAAGAAAGCGUAAUAGCUCACUAGUCGAGUCGGCCUGCGCGGAAGAUGUAACGGGGCUAAAACUAUAUGCCGAAGCUGCGGAUUUACGCAUUAGCGUAAGUGGUAGGGGAGCGUUCUGUAAGCCGAUGAAGGUGUGUUGAGAAGCAUGCUGGAGGUAUCAGAAGUGCGAAUGCUGACGUGAG
rnacentral:rRNA from 1 species